GACGAACGCUGGCGGCGUGCUUAAGACAUGCAAGUCGAGCGGACCUCUUCGGAGGUUAGCGGCGGACGGGUGAGUAACACGUGGAUAACCUGCCUUGCUGACCGGGAUAACAGGCCGAAAGGCCUGCUAAUACCGGAUAAGCUCACGGGGCCGCAUGGUCCUGGGAGAAAAGGUCCUGCAAGGGACUGGAGCAAGAGGGGUCCGCGGCCCAUUAGCUAGUUGGAGGGGUAAUGGCCCACCAAGGCGACGAUGGGUAGCCGGCCUGAGAGGGCGACCGGCCACACUGGGGCUGAGAAACGGCCCAGACUCCUACGGGAGGCAGCAGUCGGGAAUUUUGCACAAUGGCCGAAAGGCUGAUGCAGCAACGCCGCGUGAGUGAAGAAGGCCUUCGGGUUGUAAAGCUCUGUUGCCCGUGAAGAACGGCCACAUCAGGCAAUGGGUGUGGUUUGACGGUAGCGGGAGAGGAAGCCCCGGCUAACUACGUGCCAGCCGCCGCAGUAAGAC
rnacentral:rRNA from 1 species